rnacentral:lncRNA from 1 species
GAGUCAGGCAUAACUACUGCGAAUACCACCUAUAGGUUGAGGCUUCAGAUUUGCAAAUUCUCAUGUUGCAAUAAACGCAAUUCACAACAUCCUUUUACACAGCACAACAUUCAUCAAUGGCUUUGAUGAUGGUAGUGAUGGCGAUUGUACCAGCAAGGAUGUAGGGGAAAAUCUUACCCAAAGCAACUAGGAAUAAAGAUUUUAUCAUCUCAGCCCUCAUAAAAUACUUUGCUUAGAUGUCUUUCAUUCCCAGAAGAGAAUGCAUAAUAUCCAAAGAGCAGAGGCAGAAGAAUGUUUCUUAUUUAUUCCUAUAAUUAUUGUCCUGUUUUGCUGAAGAAGGAGGUUGAUUAUAUUGAGGCAGUCAUUGUGACAUACAGAAAAGUACUAUGCCCAUCUGUUACGACGCCCUUAGAAUU